rnacentral:rRNA from 1 species
UACGAAGGGGGCUAGCGUUAAUCGGAAUUACUGGGCGUAAAGCGUGCGCAGGCGGCUAUGCAAGACAGAUGUGAAAGCCCCGGGCUCAACCUGGGAACCGCGCUUGAGACUGGCAUGCUCGAGUUCGGGAGAGGAUGGUGGAAUUCCCAGUGUAGAGGUGAAAUUCGUAGAUAUUGGGAAGAACACCGAUGGCGAAGGCAGCCAUCUGGACCGACACUGACGCUGAGGCGCGAAAGCGUGGGGAGCAAACAGG